GUCGAGCGGGGGAGGUAGCUUGCUACUGGACCUAGCGGCGGACGGGUGAGUAAUGCUUAGGAAUCUGCCUAUUAGUGGGGGACAACAUCUCGAAAGGGAUGCUAAUACCGCAUACGUCCUACGGGAGAAAGCAGGGGAUCUUCGGACCUUGCGCUAAUAGAUGAGCCUAAGUCGGAUUAGCUAGUUGGUGGGGUAAAGGCCUACCAAGGCGACGAUCUGUAGCGGGUCUGAGAGGAUGAUCCGCCACACUGGGACUGAGACACGGCCCAGACUCCUACGGGAGGCAGCAGUGGGGAAUAUUGGACAAUGGGCGCAAGCCUGAUCCAGCCAUGCCGCGUGUGUGAAGAAGGCCUUAUGGUUGUAAAGCACUUUAAGCGAGGAGGAGGCUACUUUAGAUAAUACCUAGAGAUAGUGGACGUUACUCGCAGAAUAAGCACCGGCUAACUCUGUGCCAGCAGCCGCGGUAAU
rnacentral:rRNA from 1 species